AUAAAAGUAGAACAAACAAAUUAAAAUGAUAGAUUUAUUAUAUUACCCUUUGAAAUAUAAUAAAAUUAAUUAUUUAAAAAAUGAGUAUAGUUAAUAAUAAGAAUAAAUUAUGAACUAAACAAUAAGCUAUCUGUUAAUUUCUCAAAUUUAAAAAAAAUAAUGGAUAAAAAUAAGCUUGAUAUGUAAUUUAUGAAACUUAUGUUUUAGCCAAUGAACUUGAUAUGCUUAGCAACAUGUGAGGUGAAUCUACAUAAAUAUUUGGCAUUCAGAAUUUUGGACCAUAGAGAGAUUGUGGUCCUAAAUUUCUAUCAUCCCUUCAUAUUCAAAAUAUUAUUGUUGCCUUCUUAUCCCGAACUCUACGUCCUUUUGAAAAAAUCAUCUUGUCCCAAGCAUUCGCAUAAUGUUUUUGCUUACAUGCAUGCUAUUGCUCCCACAAAAAUCUGUCGGUCAAACAUAUCGACGGACACUUCAAUUUAACAUAAUCUAAAAUACAUUGACAGAUAAUUCAACUUGACAUAAUCUUUUACUUUGAUAUCUUAGGUGGACGAUGUUCAUUUUAAACAUUUGAAAUGCCAUAAAUCGUGUCACUUUGACACCUUUUCCUCUGUUCAAAAAAAUCCUAGGUGUGCGUAUGCAAACUCAUCCACGUAAAUUUUAAAUGUCAAUUAAAAUUUGUCUAACUCAUUUUAACUUCUCACGUCAUCCUAAUUAAUCUAAAAAGGGCGAAAAUGGAAAAAUCGUUCAUUUCCACUUUCUUGUCCAUUUGGAACCUGAUGGAAACCCAUCGUAAGUUUUUCGAUCAUUUUCACUUUUGCUUCGAUUUUUCUUUGAUUCUUAGUAAUUACUAAUUGUUAAUAGUAUAUUUUGCAGGUACAAUGUUUGUAAUGAUGUGUUAGAUUUAUUUUUCUUGACAUAGGGUUCAAACUUUAGUUUAAAAUUGUCGAAAAUGAAGGUCGGACUAAACUUUUUUCUUAAUUUUAUGCAUUUUCCUUUUUGUUUCGACUGUUUACCCAAAAAAAAAUUAUAGUGUUUGAUUUUGCUAAUCUUGAAUUCAGUGGACUUGAAUUUUCUAAUCUUUAUUUUUGUUCUAAACGUUUGAUUUUGCUAUUUUUCUGAAAAUAGUUUCAACUUCGUUUUGUUGAUGUUCAUAAGUUGACUUGAACUUAUUGUUAAAGUUCAAAUUUGUGAAUACAUGUUAUGACUUUAUUUGACUGUUCAUAUAUGUUAGUUUGAACAUGUUAAAGUUUUUGUUGUAAAAUGCAGAUUUUACUAAAUCCUAAAAACAACAAAUAUUGCUGGAAAUAUCUAUUGCAUCAAUUUCAUGGAAGUUAUAAUAUUAAAAAUAAAUAGGUAGAAGGUAAGAGAGCUUUAAUUUACAUGAAAAUUAAAAGGUACAUUAUCUUCAAAAAAGUAUAUUGGAAAGUUUUUUUUUUUUCCCCUUUUUUGUGUGUAUGGGUGUGUGUGUUUUGAAAAUGUAUAAUAAAUUGAAUUCAACAUGCCAAAUGCAGAGAGGAAAGAGCCAAUAUUUGGGUAUAUAUACAAUAUUUUGCUGGAUAUGACAUGCUAUAACAAUGAUGGAGCUUAUUUUUGUGGUUUACAUACCAAUUUCAAGCACUAGUGUUUUGCACAUGAAGUUUAAAGAUGAACAAGUAAAGAGAAGUUUAUCACUUGUAAUUUCAACCCGUAUUAUGAUAUAAUUAACUCAUAAAAAUAUGAUCAUCCAUGUUUAUUGAUCCGCUCUUUUUUUUUUUUUUUUUCAUAUGGAACUUUGUUC
rnacentral:lncRNA from 1 species